rnacentral:rRNA from 1 species
GGAUGAACGCUGGCGGCGUGCCUAAUACAUGCAAGUCGAGCGAACAGAUAAGGAGCUUGCUCCUUUGACGUUAGCGGCGGACGGGUGAGUAACACGUGGGUAACCUACCUAUAAGACUGGAAUAACUCCGGGAAACCGGGGCUAAUGCCGGAUGACAUUUAGAACCGCAUGGUUCUAAAGUGAAAGAUGGUUUUGCUAUCACUUAUAGAUGGACCCGCGCCGUAUUAGCUAGUUGGUAAGGUAACGGCUUACCAAGGCAACGAUACGUAGCCGACCUGAGAGGGUGAUCGGCCACACUGGAACUGAGACACGGUCCAGACUCCUACGGGAGGCAGCAGUAGGGAAUCUUCCGCAAUGGGCGAAAGCCUGACGGAGCAACGCCGCGCGAGUGAUGAAGGUCUUCGGAUCGUAAAACUCUGUUAUUAGGGAAGAACAAAUGUGUAAGUAACUGUGCACGUCUUGACGGUACCUAAUCAGAAAGCCACGGCUAACUACGUGCCAGCAGCCGCGGUAAUACGUAG